CACGGAGGGAGCGUGGCUGCGGCGGGGCUGGUCCUGCGCCCGGAGAAAGGCUAGGGAGGGACAAUAAAGCCAGUGCCGGGCAGAGAAAUCACAAGGUGGAGUUGAAUACAAUGCCCACAUUUGUGGUUAGCUACAAGCAAUAUGUUAUGAAGAUGGUGGUAUUCAGACACGUACCCAACCAAUUUAAUUCAGAUAAAUUGGAUACAAGGCUUUGACCAGCAUGAGAAGAGCAGGUGAGAACCCUUGAAAGAGAAGCUGAAAUAAUAAGUAUUUUGAUGGUCAGGAAAAAUAUUUCUCCAAUAACACAAAGAUCUUCUAUUAGAAACUCAAAAUACUAAUUACAAUCUGCCUAAAGACUUAUUAUAAAUGAAGUGGAGAUAGAAACAUGUUUAUAUUAUGGGGAGGCUUAUUUGCAGAUAAGCAGGAAACCAGUCACACAUCUUCACAAACAUAAUUUUAGCUGUUUUAAUUAGCAGGUUUGCUUUGAUUUAAUUUAAUUCAGUGAUUCCUUCUAUCUUUACUGACACAUGUGCAAAUAAAAUGUGCUGACCUGACUUCUGACAUCCAGUUUCCUUUUUCAUUUCUGUUUUUGUUGUUGUUGAUUCCGUCAGUGUUUACGGUGAAAUGAUGGGGUCAACACUUCCUAACAGCAUGGCCAACAGAUGUAGCAUGGGGAUGACAACUGUACAUUUGAGUGGUCUUUUGUUACCCCAGCACUGACUGAUUGCUGAGGUGCUGGAAGCCAGGGUGUCAAAGGCCAUCAGAAGUCCUAAUAGCCUCUGGAUUCCAAUUCUAUUAAGGGUUGGAAUGACAAAAAAUAUGCCUUUUUGUGUACUAGUGGUAAAAGUGCAGUGAGCUUUUUUGCUAGAGAAUGAGAUCCUAGAAAGAAGCCCCAGGUGUGCCUUUAGCAAGUUAUUGUAGCGUAUGCAUCAACUUUGGGUUGAAAAGCAAGCUUUAAAAGCUGUCAGAAUUCAUAUAUUUUAUGUUUGGAGAUUUGGUGGUGU
rnacentral:lncRNA from 1 species